AACAAGUAACCCUCUGUAAAGAGUUUAGUUUGUUUCUUAGAAGAUAAAGGGAUACUAGCAAGUAACCCACGAGUGGUAGGGAGCAAGAUGGCAGCCUCGUUACAAGCCGCAGCUACACUGAUGCAACCCACCAAGGUGGGUGUGGUACCCGCUCGCAGCAGCAGCCUGCAGCUGAGGUCUUCACAGAGCGUUUCGAAGGCUUUUGGUGUCGACUCAGCUGGUGCUAGGAUCUCUUGCACUUUGAAUAAUGACUUGAAGGAUUUGGCUCAGAAAUGUGUUGAUGCUACCAAGAUCGCUGGCUUUGCCCUCGCCACUUCUGCUCUCGUCGUUUCGGUCUGUCUAUCAUCUCUUACUAUGUUUUCCUUUUGCUUCUAUUUACUACUAUCGAUUAUUAUUUUUUUAGUACAUAUGUGACAGCAUAAUGAUUUUGUAACAUGUGUUGUAUUAUUUCUUGGUAUGUUUAGUUUCGAUUUUCACUUGUCAACGCAAAAGUGUACUAAAUGCUCCUAGUCAUUAAUUUAUCCCCAUCAUGUUGUUCUGUUCUGAAUUAUGCCGAUACACUACUAUAAAUAUUUGGAGACGGGUUGUGGCUCUUUUCAAUUGACGGAGAAGGCAACAAUUAUCAGGCGCCAAUAAAUGUUCUCUCACUCUCAGAGUUUAGGCCGUCAACAGACCAAAUUUCAAUUUUAAUUUGUUAUAAUUGCUGUUACUAUAACUAAAUCAUCGAAGAAUUAGUUUAAAGAUAGUGAAAAUGUUGUUGGGAAAGGACUUUAUGAUCUGACAUUGUUGAAUAAUUGCUUGUUUCCUCAGGGAGCAAGUGCUGAAGGUGUUCCAAAGAGGCUAACCUAUGAUGAAAUCCAGAGCAAGACAUACAUGGAAGUAAAGGGAACCGGAACUGCUAACCAGUGCCCAACCAUUGAUGGCGGAGUUGACUCUUUUGCCUUCAAACCUGGCAAAUACCAGGCUAAGAAGUUCUGCCUAGAACCAACUUCCUUCACUGUCAAGGCUGAGAGUGUCAACAAGAAUGCCCCACCAGAUUUCCAGAACACCAAGCUCAUGACCCGCCUUACCUACACCCUUGACGAGAUUGAGGGACCUUUUGAAGUGUCCCCCGAUGGCACCAUUAAGUUUGUGGAGAAGGAUGGAAUUGACUAUGCUGCUGUGACAGUUCAGCUGCCUGGAGGCGAGCGUGUGCCCUUCCUUUUCACCAUCAAACAAUUGGUAGCAUCAGGCAAGCCUGAGAAUUUCGGAGGAGAGUUCCUUGUACCAUCAUACCGUGGAUCAUC
rnacentral:lncRNA from 1 species